rnacentral:tRNA from 1 species
GGCCUCUUAGCUCAGUUAGGCAGAGCAUUCGGCUUUUAACCGAAGGGUCAGGGGUUCGAGCCCCCUAGAGGCUA